rnacentral:rRNA from 1 species
GCCUUCGGUGUGAUAAUUUCUGCGCCGCGGCCGUGAAGUAUAAUAGUGUUCGUGCUUACAACUGUCUGCAAAGACAAUUCUUCUUGACAAUCUGACCUCAAAUCAGGU